rnacentral:snRNA from 1 species
AUACCUCCCUGGCAGGGGAGAUACCAUGAUCACGAAGGUGGUUUUCCCAGGGCGAGGCUCACCCAGUGCACUCCGGAUGUGCUGACCCCUGUGAUUAUGUGGGAAACGCGACUGCAUAAUUUAUGGUAGUGGGUUUUUUUGAAAAUACUUU